rnacentral:rRNA from 1 species
UACGUAGGGUGCGAGCGUUGCCCGGAUUUAUUGGGCGUAAAGGGCGCGUAGGCGGCUCUGCACGUCCGUUGUGAAAUCGCCCGGCUCAACUGGGGCGGGGUCAGCGGAUACGGCGGAGCUUGAGCAAGCUAGGGGGCAAUGGAAUUCCCGGUGUAGUGGUGGAAUGCGUAGAUAUCGGGAGGAACACCAGUGGCGAAGGCGGUUGCCUGGGGCUUUGCUGACGCUGAUGCGCGAAAGCGUGGGGAGCGAUCCGG